AUGAGUAGUACGACUCUAUCCAUCUGUUCGUGGAAUGUAAGAGGACUAGGCGAUGAAUCAAAAUGUGCUGAUAUCCUUUCCGAACUAUUCAGUAUCGACCCUCAUUGUGCCCUCUUACAAGAGACAAAAUUAAACGACAUUAACGACCAAAAAUUCAACUCCUUCCUACCACGAUCUCUAGACCAAAGAAUUUUCCUACCUGCGGACGGCUCGGCCGGCGGAAUGGUUUCCGCCUUUAACAAAAACUUCUUCUCUCUAAUCUCAUACUCUCAUCAUCAGUACGCCACAUCCAUCAAAAUCACGUCACUCGCUCACCCCCUUCCCUUUGUCAUCACAAACAUCUAUGCACCUUCACAUCGCAACCUCAAACAGGCCUUCCUAGAUGAGCUCAAACUAAUCAAGGAAGAUGACCAAAUUCCUUGGUUGAUUGUAGGAGAUUUCAACUUGGUACACUUUUCCCACGAAAAAAACCGCAACUUCCGCCAACGGGAAGCUGACGCCUUCAACUCCCCGAUCAAUGACCUAGCACUAAUCGAACUACCCCUACUAGAUAGACGCUUCACCUGGACCAAUAAACGAGCUUCACCAACCCUAGCACGACUAGACCGUGCUUUCUUCAAUCUGGCCUGGAAUAAUUGCUUCCCCAAUACAACUCUGUCAUCUCUACCAUGCAUCACAUCUGAUCACGUCCCACUAAUCCUAAAUAUCCAAACAUUUGUCCCAAAACUGCGCCACUUUAGAUUUGAAUCAGCUUGGACUCUAUCCACUGCUUGCCACCAAAUAAUACAAAAAUGUUGGGCACCAAAUCAACACGUGCCCCAACCGCUAUCUUCUGCUGCUGCCCUUGCAAAAAAUCUAAAAAUAACAAGAUGCGCCCUAAAAAAAUAG
rnacentral:rRNA from 1 species